AAUAGAUACCCGGGUAGUCCACGCCGUAAACGAUGGAUGCUAGCUAUUGGGGGAAUCGACCCCUCCGAAGCGAAGCUAACGCGUUAAGCAUCCCGCCUGAGUAGUACGAGCGCAAGCUUAAAACUCAAAGGAAUUGACGGGGACCCGCACAAGCGGUGGAGCGUGUGGUUUAAUUCGAUGGUAAACGAAGAACCUUACCAAGGUUUGACAUCCCGGUAGCCGUUCUCCGAAAGGAGAAUUUCAUUUAGUUGGACCGGUGACAGGUGAUGCAUGGCCGUCGUCAGCUCGUGUCGUGAGAUGUUGGGUUAAGUCCCGCAACGAGCGCAACCCUUAUGAUUUAGUUGGAUUUUUCUAAACAGACUGCCCUGGUAACAGGGAGGAAGGAGGGGAUGAUGUCAGGUCAGUAUUUCCCUUACACCUUGGGGCGACACACGCGCUACAAUGGCCGGUACAAUGGGCAGCUAAGCCGCGAGGUGGAGCAAAUCCCAUCAAAGCCGGUCCCAGUUCGGAUUGCAGGCUGAAACCCGCCUGCAUGAAGCCGGAAUCGCUAGUAACC
rnacentral:rRNA from 1 species